rnacentral:lncRNA from 1 species
CGUGAUCCGCCCACCUCAGCCUCCCAAAGUGCUGGGAUUACAGGCGUGAGCCACCGCACCUGGCCAAGAAGCAUUUUCUAAACUAAUCUUCUCCUACAAAUAGCCCCUGGACCUUGAGGAUCAUAAAUGGUCAUCAUUUAACAUUUUUUUCUGCUAGAAGUAUUGAGCCUCUUUGUUGUAUUGAGACCAAAAGAAGAUCUGUCACCCCCCUCCACUCCCCUACAGAUGUACAUACAACUUUCGGCAAUCUCAGAGAGUUUGAAGCUACAAUUCUAUUACAAACGACGUGCUACAAGUAUGCUUUUAAAAUAAAUUAUUUUUCCAGUUUUUUCACUUUAACCUCUGCCCCAGUGGUCGUAAAAACAGAGGCAUGGAGACUGAGUUCUUUUCUGUGGACCAUUAUGCAUCUAUCUUUUCCAAUAGUUUCCUUUGCCUCUGCUCUUUUUUGCUGUACAAAGACAGAAAUUUCUAAACAGAGCCUUUAAUAGUCCAUUACUUUUUACCCAUGUUAUGCAAUGUAGCUUUAAAGACGAACUUUUCCAGCAAACUGCUGCUUGUGUGAAUGCCUGUUUGGGAGUGAGACUUCCCUACUGGAAAAAUAACUAACACACACUACACCAUAGUUACGAUUACAUCACAAUAAAUAUUCUAUGCAGGACUAGGAACAGUUCCUCAAAGAAAAAUGCUUGGGGAACGGGUAAUUGGAAUGAACUACAAGCAUUUUCACUGAGCUCAAAGAAACUGCAAGAAAAAAGAUCUUCGAUCUGCAUCCAAGUAUUUUUUUUGUCUGAAAGAACACUGUGUGAGGAAUUUUGACAUUCUCUGCAUUCUAAUGAAAAUGACUUGGAAAGUAGAGGCUUCUCUAUACAUUUGCCUCAUUGCCGCCACGAUGGGCACCGUUUAUCAGGAAUAAAGAGAGAAGAUCAAGAAAGUAGUUCUUUUCUGGAGAAUUUUGUGCUCUGGCUCUUAAGUACUUUUGCUUUGCCAUGAAUGUGAAUAUUUUAAAGGCCAAAAAAGCCCCCUCCAUUUGAGUUGCAGAUGGCCACAGGAACCCAACAAGAAUGCUAACAACUCAUUUUAAAAAGGGAAAAAGAAAGGAAGUGCCAAGUUCCACACUGCAUAUCCAUACUGAUGUUGAGCCCAUCUUGGCCUAGCUGGUAGAACUGAAAAUUGAGAAUAAUAUUAAGGGGCUGCAAUGAUCCCUAAGGGUAAAAAUAAAUGUGUUUCUGAAAACAACAGCCACAUCCACAAUGAAAUAGACAUGAAACAAGAUAACCCAAGAACACAUUUGUUUUCCUUGUAACAGGGAUGCGUUAAGUUCAUUAUUCAGAGGACUUUGAUUACCCUUUUCAAAGAUUUUUGGGUGACAGUGAUCCAGGAUGAAGGUCCUUUGACUAUACAUUUCAGCGUUCAAUUGAGGUAAAAUAAUGGUGAUUUUCGGGAAAGAAAAAUUAUCCCUGUCCUUUUUCCAGGGGUCCCUGGAGGUACUUUGUUGAAUUUUUCUAAUCUUGUGCAUGGACUUCUCAAAAGCUGAUCUGGCAGACAAUCACAGUUGGCCACUCAGUCACUACCCUUACAGCUACUAGCGGCCAUGAGACAGUGAUCUGACCCAUGAAAUGUAAAGAGAAUUUCUGGGGGGACUUUGGAAACUCUUUUGCGUUCUCAUUAAAAGGCAAAGCUUAAGACACAAGCUCUUUGGUGCCAUCCCUUCCCUUGAACCUGAAUACAGUGAUCAUCUUGUGAUCAAGAGGCAAGAAACCUGAGGACAAAAAGCCAACAUGCUUAGGGAAGUAAGAAGAAAAAUGGAGAAAUUUUGAGUUUUUGAUGACAUCACUGGGCUGUAGGAGCAACCCCAAGAUCACCUAUGUAGACUAUCUUGUUACAUAAACAAGAAAUGCCUUUAUGGUUUAUGUCCCUGCUACUUGCAGCCAAAAACAUUCUUAUGUGAUACAGGAAGCAAGGUCUAGGGUGGAGGCAAGAACAGAAAGGACGGGGGCAGCAGUAAUGGCUGGUAAAUUCUGUUAGGAAGUGUUGCCCCAGAGACUAAUGAAGGGAUGGAAAAUGCUGCUUGAUGCCUAGGAGCUGUUGCAGCCAUAGCUGCCUUGGCCUUCCACCUGAGGAUGAUGCCAGGUUUUGUCAAUAUCAUGACAGUGAUAUUAAUGAUAUUCAACAAAGGGGGCAAGAAUACAAGCAAUUAGUUGAAUUCUUAGAGCUCAGUGAAAGAGUGUAAGGGCAAAGCAGACAGCAGGAGAGUAAAAACGAAGUUUGUUUGCUUCCCUUUGUGGUUUAAUUUGCCCAAACUGAAUGGUUUAGAAGUAUAUCCCUCAGCUGAAAGUCUAACUGCCUGUGUCUUGUGGAACAUACCUGUAUUUGUAACUUGCAUCUUCUGUGUGGGUGAGGACCAGGGGGCAUAAAACCAUGUGGGGGGAUUUUCCUUCUUCCCAAGGGAGAGCUGAUGACCAAGGCUGAAUUCCAAGGUAGCAGAGUUCCAGCUGAGGACUGGCCAGUGGUAACCUGGACCCCAGCUUCCUCAACCACCAUAUAAGCUGGUGUUGUAGAGGUGUGUGUGUGUGUGUGUGUUUCUUGAAAACACUCCUAUUCAAAGCAAAGCCAGGUCAGCCUUAAAAGCAAGCUGACAAAAAGAACUAUAAAACCAGGGGUGGAUUACAUUUCAGAGUGGUUCCUUAAAUUACAACUAUCACUAACAGGCAUUAGUCAGCUAUUUCUAGUUUAACUAAAAAGUAAAAGGUAUAUUCAACUUGUCUUUAUUCUAUUUUUCUUCUUAUGCUAAACAUUUAAGCUCCUUCAUUUCUGCUAUAAUAUUUUGAAAUGGUGAUAAAUCUGUUUUAGCUUGAAACUUGGUUUCUUCAAUAUACGCAGUCAGCAAAUAGUUAUUGCGUGUCUCCAUACCAGUGAGUGUGUGUGUCUGUGUAAGACAGAGGGAAGGUGAGGUAGAGAGAGAAAGAGAGAGAGAGCAUGAGAGAGUGUGCGUGAGAGAGAGCCAACAGCAUCCUUUCAGGAUCUUGUACAUAGAAAUGAAAGCCGUGAAUGAAGCUGUAGUUCAAUUUGAUUAGGAAAAUGCACUCUAAAAUACUGAGAGGAUGUGAUGCCAGGCAAACUGAGCUGCUGGCUGGAGAACACUGAACAAAGAUGAAAUUGUUUCUGGAUCUUAACUCACUCUUAUGCAGAAUGUCUCCUGACUUGCUUUAUCCCUCUUUCCCUUGCAGCAGUCAGUGACAGGCUGGGUGGAAAGUUGUCCUUCCUCUCAGAGAAUGUUAACUCAUCAGCCUCCAGGUGUGGCUCCGGCCUAUUGGCUGCCUUUCCCUUUGAAGGCACAGACACUCUUGAGAGAAUCUUGAGCUGGCUUUGGAGCUGGGACCCCUUUGCACUCCCACUUUGGAUGUCUUCACUGGGUGGCAGACUAGUCAACCCGCUAGGCUCUAGCUAUUUCUGAAUAGGUUCUUUGAAGUUACUGGAGACCCAAGUGGUUUGCUACAUUUUGCAUAAGUAAUAGAACAGUGCAUAAACCCCCUUGCCCAGCAUCACUUAAUACACCUGCUUCUGCUGAUGCUCUUUGAAGAUGCCUCCGUGGAGGGCAUUGCAAACUGCUCUGCACAUUCAUAUUCAACCCGUGUGCAGUAUGCAUGGACCACUGCAGGCUGAGAGCCGCGUGCCUGGCGCGGCCCGCCUCUAGCACUGUCUCCAGUCAUUCCACUGUGCUCACAAAGAAGUCCAAGAAAUAGAAAAACAUAAAAAGCUAUUGUCCAUGUCCAGUGAGAAAUGAAAUGCACUGGACCGCGUAUCACAACUUCCUUAAAAUAAUACAACUUUAUCACUUUUGCAUCUGAUCCUGCUCAUGGUUUGCAAAGUCAUAAACCCCUUGAAAUCAAUAGCUUGAGCCAUCGCUGCUCUAUUCUAUUUAAACACAUCCUCUAAAGAAGCAAUUUAUUACGAACUCUCUAUGGUUUCACCUUAUCUAAAACACUUAAUUCAGUCCAUCUCCUGCUUUGCUUUGUAGUGUUGGAAGCAAUCAGAAGACUGGAAGCAAUUUACUAAUAAGAGAACAUGCCCUACAGCUCUGGCCUGUGAAAAGAGUUUCAGAAUCACGAUGUAGCCACAAGUCAAAUUCUAGAAAGAAUUAAUGGCACAUCUCAUAGUUCUUUCAUUUGCUGGCUGAUUCAUUCCAGAGUGGUUUUGAGGACAGAAUGAAGCAAGAUGAAAAACAGCACUUUGAAAAUGGAGUGUGUGGUAUUCAUCUUAGAUACACUUUUAGAGAAGAAGAAAUGUGUCUCAGAAAAAGGACCUCUUCUGACUCAAAUUUAGCUUACAUCCCCUUCUCAACCAUAUCCCAGGUGAUAAAAUAUGACACCCAGCAGAAAUUCCAUCCAAACACAGGAAAGAAGCAGGCCCGGGGGCUUGGAGAUGAUACUUGUCCAGAAAUCCCAUGAUUAUUUUGCUAUAGCAGACGAUGACCUUCUCAAAGGAAGCCUAUCAAACGCUCAAGAUAAAUAAUGAGAAGGUCUCUCUCUCCUGCCUCCAGGAAAAAACUGCACAGAGGAAAAAUGUUUGCUAAACCAUUAAUAUGUUCAUCCCAGGAUGGGAAGCAGCUUGGUCUAAAAGAAACAGAGUGGCACAUGUGUUUGUGUGUGACCAGUGGCCCCAUUCAACAGGACUCCUGGGGCAGCAUCCAUGGAGGGGCCUCAGGAGACACACCUAAGCCCUUUACCCAGUAACGUCGGAAAUGAAUGUUUCUCUGGUGGCAGACAGGGUACCUUCUAAACCUCUUGACUCAUGAGCAAAUUAACUCAAGGUAAGGAAGCACUGGGUAAUGCCGUCUCUCAACAACCUAGAAAAAACAUGGUUCUGCUUUACUAGGCCCUGGAACUACAAUUAAUGGUAAUGAAUUCCCUCUUCCCUCACAUUCCCACCUUCCCACCAGGCAGCAAAUACUCAGGUGGCAAAAGAAGCUUUCUGUCUGUUUUUCUCCCCAUGGAAGCAAGGUUUCGCAGAGUAGGUAGAGAGCUGCAGUAGAAAUUGCAACUUUCCCAUGAUUUAAGUGCUUUGGCUGCCCUGGAGAAUGGGGCUGAUUUCUCAGGGCAAAAGUCAACUCUCCAUCCAUUUAUGGCUCUUGUCCAAUCUAUGGACAGCUGAAGACACAGAUCUUAACUCCAGGAGUUGGUGUAAGAUCCUUCCCAGCAGUGAAAUGGAAAGAGUUUUCAAAGACAUAGGGUCCUCUAUGGGAAGAGGUGGGAGAGUCAGGAGGUGAGGAAGAAAAUUUUCUAUUCCAAGGCAAGCUCAGGAAUCAAUGGGCUGAACCAAGUAGUACCCAAUGGCUGGGUAGGGGCAAGGGUAAAAAAGCAAUCUCAAAAGUAAUCAGGAUUCAAAUGAUCCAGGGAUUUGCAGAUAAAAUUAAAACUGCUCAGCAACACUUCAGGAGAAAAAGUCAGUAGCAUGCAGAUAGUUAUCAAGCACAUUAUUUUGCCAGCCAGCUGAGGAUGGCAGCAAGCUAAAUUUUGAGUCCAGAAAGGUGGUUAGGGUUUCUGUGCUCUGGAUUGUACAUCUUCCUCUCUCUAACUUGUUCUCCCCACCUUUUAGGAUGGCCAACACCCUCUUAUCACUUGAGACUCAGAAGAAGGGAAAUCUCCUCUGAAUUCUUUUCUGACCAGGGGCCCUGAUGACUGCCCCUUGUUGUCCCUUCAUCCCUGUGUGGACCAUUCUCAUGGCAUGGUGGGUAUUUACUGUGUAUAUCGGUUGCCAUAGCUCAGUCUCCCUUGUAGGGACUGAACCUAUUUAUCUUCACAUCUCUUGUGGCCAGAACACACCUGGCAUAUAGGUGGUCCAUAAAUGCUAGUGGAAUAAAAGGAGGAUGCUAAUUAUGUUUAUUUACUGGUCAUCCUUUUCCCCCCUAUCACUUUAACUUUCACCUCUCUAAUGCCCUUUAAUGUCCUUGAAAGCGAUUGAAUUCCUAAGACAAGCUGCCAUACUUUCUGGUGGAGAAUACACAUUUAUUUCCUGAAGGGUAGUUAAUGUCUAAUCACCCAGAAGACAUUUAGGUUUCUUUUAUUUAGAAAGCGGAGAUAAUAACUCCCCCAGUAAGUAAACAGGAAAAUAGACUUUGUUCUUCAAAAAAAAUUUGAUUAACAUAGUUUCAAGGAACAUUUCUACUGUUGUAAACCAAGGUUCUUGAAAUAAUCAACAACAUUACAGAUUGCAAGGUUAGAGAUUAAAACAUGCAAAAUAAGUGGAAUCAUACCAUUUAGCAAUGGAAAGACAGACUAUGUCGGUGAGGUGUUUUAAAUACCCAAACAGUUUUAUGACAAAAAAAAUCCUCACUAUAAACAAAAUGAAUUAGGGAUUUGCCUUGGAAUGAAGGUUUAAAAAUAAUGGGAUGAGUUUAAAGAAUACUGCAGGCCCUUAAAGACGAUGAGAGAUUUUGAGAGGCCUGAGUGACUUCAGUGGGGUCCAUCCCUAAAAUAAUGAAGGACUAAGUAAGUCAAACCUUAGGGUCGCCUCUGCAGAUCUUUAGCCUGGCCUGUGCAAUUGUAUUGCACAGAGGAAUACAAUAUGGCAGGAACAGACCAAUGUAACAGGUAGCAAUUGUUCACGCACCAGAUCUGGCACCAGCUACCAGAGGGAGGGUGAAAGAGGGGAAAAUUAUCUUUUCUUCAACUCUGUGAAGACUUAGAGUUUCAGAUAGUUAAAUGUGAGUGGGCUGGUGUUUCCUCUUUGCUAGAUUUAGUGUGUGCGGUUUCUCUGCCAUGUAUAUCUAUAGUUCUCUAAAGUGACUGGAGAAAUACUUUUCCUUAAAUCAGUGGUAAAGAAGUUACUGGCAAAAUGUCCCUUAAAUAUUCCUGUUGGGUGCUACCAAAGGAUUAUUUAAAAUCAUGAAAAUAAUCCAAAAGCUGCUCCCACUGGAAAAUGACUAGGAGAAAGAUGUUUAAAUUCAAAACUGCUAAGCACGGACACCUACCUAAACACACACACACACACACACACACACACACACACACACACACACCCUUCCUCUGAAGCUUUCCAGGGAUAGCUAUAGAAAUUUCAUUUUAAGCAAGGGAAAAAAAAAUAGAAUCACCCCCUCACAAAAAUGUUUGAGUAUAUUUUGGUCUCUUGGUCAGGGCCAAUAAAGAUCUCUUGUUGUGAGCCAACUAGAACAGAAAUGGAGUGAGAGAUGUACUACUUUAUGUGGUCUGAAUGUGAUUAGCGAUUAGCGCUGGUGGCUUCAGUCACUUGGGAAUGGCAAUCAGGGUUUUGCUCCUGCAACUCUGAACGACUACAAAACACCCUUGGCUUCCAUCCCAUAUGAUGAUGGGAUAUUAACUGAAAAUCUAAUUAAUCUGUGAAUGAAUUAUGGCCUAAGAAAUAUACCAUUUUAUAAUCAAUUUUAAGCGAGUCCCUAACAGAAGAUAAGAUGAAGAAAAAGCUGUAAAAUUGUAAGAGGUUGGUACAUUCUGUUCACUAUGACUGAUGAUUUUAAGGGGGAUAAUUUUACAAUCCAUCACAUUUUUGUCAUUUUAAAAAUCAUGCCUCCCAAUGAAUGUUGUAAAUUAACUUUAGAAUUUACAUAUUUAUUAAAAAUUGUAUAGAAAACAGCAGGAACUGUGCCCCAUUUGAAUAAUAAAAUAACUUGUUAUUCCACUGAAGACAAAAACACACAAAAAAAUCAAAAGAUUUUAUUUUCAGGUAAUAAUCAUAUUAAUUGCUAUCUGAAUUAGUUAAACCAAGAAUUAAUAUUCACCAGAGGCAGUGACACAGCAUUAAAGAUAAUCCUCCAAAUUCCCAUUUUCAAACAUGUCUCAGAACAUGUAAAAGCAAGGGAAAGACAAAUGGGGAGGUGAGGACCAUGUUCUUAGCCUGCGGGGUUGGGCAGCAGCAGAUGUUUGAAGCUGAGCUACAUCACCUGGGGGAAGGGGAGGUGCAGACAGCAAAACACAUGAUUUGGCUCUGAGAUGAAGAAGCACAGGACUUCAUUUUAAAAGCCUCUUUGCUUGUGAGGCUGAGGUGGGCAGAUCGUUUCAGACCAGGAGUUCGAGAUCACCCUGGGCAACACGGUGAGACUCUAUCUCUACAAAAAAUACAAAAAUUAGCUGAGUGUGGUGGCAGGCACCUGUGGUCCCACCUACUUGGGAGGCAGAGGUGGGAGGAUUGAUCAAGCCCAGGAGAUUGAGGCUACAGUGAGCCGUGAUGGCACCACUGUACUCUAGCCUGCGUGGUGGAAUGAGACACCAACUCAAAAAAAAAAAAAAAAAAAAGCCUCUUUCCAAAAAGAUUCUCUACUCUACUUCUCCUACUUUGGUUGAACUCCCUACCCAGAAUGGAAGGUUUGCUGGAGGCAACAGAACAUCCCAGAUGACUCCAGAGCAUGCAGGGAAAUAACCAGAAGGGCAUGGAACCAUGCCACAUAACAUGUGGGUGAAUACAACCAUUCACUCUAGAUUAACCUCAUAAUGGACUGUCAACUCAAAGAACUGGCUCCAAGAUAGGAACUGCAUGGAUUCAUCCACAGAAGGAUGAAGGGGUCAAGGGGAAUAGAACUGGUGUGUUACCACAUGUACUCACUAGUAAGAGUAACCCAUUGGGCUGAACUGACACAAGAUGUUCUCUUGAAAUUCCUGAGAGAUGAGGGAGAAGGAUAAUGCAGUACAUGUUUUUCAUGAACUUCAGUUUAAUCAUGAUUCCUUCUUUCCAUGAGGGAUUCAUGAUAGGCUGUUACCACUAUUUUUAAGAAAAGAGCAGAGAUCCUUCAUGAAGUACUGUAGUUGAGUGUGAGGCUUGGCUCACACUGCCUCUGCUACUCAGAGUUCAUUGCUUCAGUGCAGACAUGGCUAAUACCUGGCACUUGUGCGGCAACCAACUCCUCUCAUGCCCACAGCAGGCAUUGCUUAUCAGUCUCUGUCAUCUGUCAUCUGUCAUCCCAAGCAUGGAUAGGGCCUCAGAAUCCUUCUUAACACCACAAUUCAGGCAACCUCUGUCUAUUGAUUGUCCUUGGCAUUUGAGAUGAAAGCUAUCUUGCAUCCUUGUGUGUGUGUGUGUGUAUUUAUACAUGGGAAAUAUUUAUAUAUUAUCAGCAUAUAAUUAAAUCUAGCUAGCUAUAUAUUACAUCUAUAUACAGAGAUCCAAAUACCUAUAUUAUAUCUAACUGUCUGCUAAUGGUGUAGUCAUAUUCCUUAGUAUCUGCAGCUAAUAUGAGAUAUAGAUUGAUAUCUUAGUAUAUGAAAACUUGAAGUCACCUUUGACUCUUCUCUUUGUCUCAUACUCCACAUCUACCAGUCUUCUGGUAAAUUGCCUGUUUGUUCUCAGAAACAGCAAGUCCUUGAAUAAUAUCCUUUUGUUCAAUGUUAUUUUUUUAUAACAUUGAUGAGAAAAAAAAAUCAAUUCCUGCCAGGCCACUGUCUGUGUGGAGUUGGUAUGUCUCCCCAUGUCUGUGUGGGUUUUCUCCAGGGACUUCAGGUUCCUCUCACAUCCCAAGGCUAUGCGUGAGAGAUAAAUUGGUGUGUCUACAUGGUCCCAGCAUCAGUGAGCAUAAGUGUUCUGCAAAGGAACUGUGUCCUGUCCAGGGCUGGUUCCUGCUUUGUGUCCUAACUGCUGGGAUAGAUUCCAGCCACCUGCAACCCUGAGCUGGAAUAAUUGGGAAAAUAAUGGACUUACUUGUUUUUAUUCACCUUUCUUAAGUACGUGUACAGUUCACAUGUGUUUCAAUGUUUAAUAUUAGAAGUGUUCUGGUCUCUGUUUAGAAGUUUAGUAAUGUUUCUGUGACCAGGAAUAUGCCCUAGGAACUCAGCUCUUGCUUGUAUCAAUUAGCCUCGGAUAAAGUUGGUUUCUUUAUAUGUUGUUUUGCCUAAAGUCACAGCUUCUGAGAACCUACAACUUUAAGCAAGGACUUACUGUGCAUUCUUCUCCUUUCCCCUGCUCCACUCUGCACCAUAGGAACUACAUUUUCCAGGCUCCCUUUAUUUCUGGCUUCUGGGAAGGUUCAGCCAAUGGGAAGCAAUAGCAGAAGGCAGAAGCCUGGACAGUAAGAGGAGGGGGGGAAACAAGGCAUUUCUCCCCUUCUCUGUGUCCUGUGCUGUUCCUAGCAGCACCCACUUCUCCCUCACUGCUCUAACUUCCACCAUGUGCCCCUUCCCAUCCAUGGUUUUAGCUUCCAUUGGACAGUCCAGCUUCUAGACUCUAAUGUCACUCUGCCAUUUCCCUCCAUCCUUAAAGAGGGUGGUGACUUCCUGCUCUGCUAAUUUCUAGAUCAUGACUGUCUCCUGUUGAGUAUCUCAGCUAUUCCAUUAUUUGGAUAAGCCGUUUACUGUAUUGAAUUCCCUCUACUGAAAGGCCUAAAAUAGUUCCCAUUCCAUGCUAGGCCCUGACCAAUACAAUCAGGAAAUUCUGUUUGUGCAACUUUAAUCCAGUCAUUCUUCACCAUUUGUUUUUUGCUACCAUCAGCUCUUGCCUAGAUGACCACAUUAGUUUCCCAACUGUGCUUCCACUCUCUCCUCCUGAUAGCCUGUUCUUCAUACAAAAGCCAAGGCAUCCCUUAGAAACUGUAAAUCAGGUCAUCCCACUCCCCUGUUAAAACUCCUCAGAUGGUUUCCCUUUGCUGACAAUGAAUCCUAAAAUUCUCCCCACAGCCUAUAAGGUCCGAUAUAAGUGGCUCCUAGAUUCUUCUCCACACUAUUUCUCUUCCUCUCUGUGGUUCUGCUCCAGCCAUAAUGGUCCAGGGACACGUCACACAUACCCCUCCUUCAGGGCCUUUGCACUUGCUAUACCCGCUACCUAACAUGUUCCUCUUUCGAUUAGUCACGUUUCAGUGUUUCACUUCAUUCAAACCUGACAGAGCAAGAGAAUCACCAUCUUGGACAAGCACCGCCAUUUUAAAAUGCCCCUUGAUCAAAAACCACCUAAAUCCAAAGGGCAUCAGCCUAAUGGCUAAGAUCAGCAUGACCAUAAAUCACAAAUGACAUCUCCGACCAGAAACAUUCCAACAAUAAGAUAAACCCCUCCCUGACUGGAGGGAUGUCAGCCCCAAGAUAGCCUCUCCUCCAACCACAGACAUUCCCACCCUGCAAUAAACUUCUCCCCGCCACAGAAAUAUUCCAAGCCCGUGAUAAGUUCUCUCACCCUGAACCCUUAAAUACUAUUAGUCUGUAAGAGAGAGCACUCUUGACAAAAAUUGGCCAGAAGCCCCUGUCAGGUUUAUUCUCCAAAAUAAACCUGUCUUUGACCUUUCAGCUGCUUUUCAUGUUUCUUUCCUUUCUUUACCUCUUACAAAACCUCUGUUCAAAUGUCCCUUCUUCAGAAAGGCCUUUCCCAAUCAGUCACUCUGAAGCCAUGCCCUCAUUAUAUCCCAUCUAUGAAGCCUGCUUGAUUUUAUUUUAUUUUAUUUUAUUUUAUUU